GACGAGCCACACGAGCGUUGUCCGGAAUUAUUGGGCGUAAAGAGCUCGUAGGCGGUCUGUUACGUCUGCUGUGAAAACCCUGGGCUUAACCCUGGGCUUGCAGUGGAUACGGGCAGACUAGAGGCAGGUAGGGGAGAAUGGAAUUCCUGGUGUAGCGGUGAAAUGCGCAGAUAUCGGGAGGAACACCGGUGGCGAAGGCGGUUCUCUGGGCCUGACCUGACGCUGAGGAGCGAAAGCGUGGGGAGCGAACAGG
rnacentral:rRNA from 1 species